AUUGAACGCUGGCGGCAGGCCUAACACAUGCAAGUCGAGCGCGAAAGGCCUUCGGGCUGAGUAGAGCGGCGGACGGGUGAGUAACGCGUAGGAAUCUACCUGGUAGUGGGGGACAACUUGGGGAAACUCAAGCUAAUACCGCAUACGCCCUAUGGGGGAAAGUGGGGGACCUUCGGGCCUCACGCUAUCAGAUGAGCCUGCGUAGGAUUAGCUAGUUGGUGGGGUAAAGGCCCACCAAGGCGACGAUCCUUAGCUGGUCUGAGAGGAUGAUCAGCCACACUGGGACUGAGACACGGCCCAGACUCCUACGGGAGGCAGCAGUGGGGAAUAUUGCGCAAUGGGGGCAACCCUGACGCAGCCAUGCCGCGUGUGUGAAGAAGGCC
rnacentral:rRNA from 1 species